GCUUGCCACCAUACCAGCUGCAGCUGAGACUAGGUAAUCCAUCCGAAGCAGGUCUGGGCCUGGCCAGUGCUUGGAUGGGAGACCAGCUCACAAAGCCGGGUCACUGCCACCA
rnacentral:rRNA from 1 species